rnacentral:lncRNA from 1 species
ACUGACCUUGAUCUGCACCUCAGAUCUGCACAUGCACUUUACAAGGCACUCCAAAUAUUUUGGCAGCCUAACUCUACAAGUGUAAAAUGAUAUGAACAGAAAAAAAGUGAUGCACUUCCUGCACUACCCAAAUGUCAAAGACAAAUACCUUCCCAAACAAAAAACAUCAACCAUAAAACCAAACAAAAUCCGCAAAUCCCCAAGAAAAUCUUGGAACAGCAGGACUGGGAUGAAGAAGAAGCAGAGGAAUAAGGAAGGCUAGUGAAAAUGUACAGAAAGCAUCUGAAAGUAAAGGGAGCUGAUUGGGCACUCCUGUUGUGUCAAAACAAAAGGGAAGUUUAAAAAGAGAAAAGGAAUCAUGUUACUAGGAAAUGAGAAGGAAGAUAAGCAAGGAAAGUUUCCACAGACAAAUAACUAUUUACUUAUUACGUGGUUUCUGAUGACUAAGACUUUAAGGCAGAAAAGCCAACCAGAGGGUGGCAAUCCUGUUUUACAACAGCUUUCAGAGUUUCACAGCUUGCUUGUGGUCUGGUGCUCCAUGAGAAAACAUCUGGUGGAGCCAUCAUGUGAACAACAGAAUAUGAAAGUGGAAAUGGAAUUUUUCAGGCUAAGGAAAAUGUUUCUGCAUCUGACUUGUAGAAGACUUUUUCCCGUUUUCCUGAUUGAAAACAGGCAAGAUUUUCAUCUGAGCUUUUUCUGACCCACAACAGGGAUGUGAGUU